AUACGUAGGGGGCGAGCGUUGUCCGGAUUUACUGGGCGUAAAGGGUGAGUUAGGCGGUUAUAUGUGUCAGAUGUAAAAGGCGUAGGCUCAACUUACGUUAGCAUUUGAAACUGUAUAACUUGAGUGCAGGAGAGGUAAGUGGAAUUCCUAGUGUAGCGGUGAAAUGCGUAGAUAUUAGGAGGAACACCAGUGGCGAAGGCGACUUACUGGACUGUAACUGACGCUGAGUCACGAAAGCGUGGGUAGC
rnacentral:rRNA from 1 species